AUUGAACGCUGGCGGCAUGCUUUACACAUGCAAGUCGAACGGCAGCGCGGGCAUAGGUUUGGCGGAGAGUGGCGGACGGGUGAGCAAUGCAUCGGAACGUGCCCAGCUGUGGGGGAUAGCGCGGCGAAAGCCGGAUUAAUACCGCAUUAGACCUGAGGGUGAACGGGGGGGACCGAAAGGCCUCGCGAUAUUGGAGCGGCCGAUGUCGGAUUAGCUAGUUGGUGGGGUAAAGGCUUACCAAGGCGACGAUCCGUAGCUGGUCUGAGAGGACGACCAGCCACACUGGGACUGAGACACGGCCCAGACUCCUACGGGAGGCAGCAGUGGGGAAUUUUGGACAAUGGGGGCAACCCUGAUCCAGCCAUGCCGCGUGCGUGAAGAAGGCCUUCGGGUUGUAAAGCGCUUUUGUUCGGGAAGAAAACCUCUGGGCUAAUACCCCGGGGUGAUGACGGUACCGGAAGAAUAAGCACCGGCUAACUACGUG
rnacentral:rRNA from 1 species